rnacentral:rRNA from 1 species
CCUACGGGAGGCAGCAGUGGGGAAUAUUGCACAAUGGGCGAAAGCCUGAUGCAGCAACGCCGCGUGAAGGAAGACGGUUUUCGGAUUUUAAACUUCUAUCAAUAGGGAAGAAAGAAAUGACGGUACCUAAAUAAGAAGCCACAGCGAACUACGUGCCAGGAGCCGCGGUAAUACGGAGGGGUCAAGCGGUAUCCGGAAUUACUGGGUGUAAAGGGAGAGUAGGCUGCAAGGUAAGCGAUAUGUGAAAGCCUUAAGCUUAACUUAAGGAUUGCAUAACGAACUAUCUAGCUAGAGUACAGGAGAGGAAAGCGGAAUUCCUAGUGUAGCGGUGAAAUGCGUAGAUAUUAGGAAGAACACCAGUGGCGAAGGCGGCUUUCUGGCCUGAAACUGACGCUGAGGCUCGAAAGCGUGGGGAGCGAACAGGAUUAGAUACCCGGGUAGUC